AGCAGCGUGGCUCAGUGGAAAGAGCACGGGCUUUGGAGUCAGAGGUCAUCAUGGGUUCGAAUCCCGUCUCUGCCA
rfam:Ornithorhynchus anatinus chromosome 2, whole genome shotgun sequence.